ACUCGACCGAACACCAUAGCUAGGGAGUAGGUUUCGGUUUUGGCUUUAUUCCUUUUCAUUUGGAUUAGCUCUUAUGAGCUUCUAUCUGGAAUGUUCGAUUGAUCUGACAAUGUACUCUUAUCCGUAAGCGUCCUUCGAAUGGAAAAUCUCGGUAAGAUUAUCGGAAGCUUGGUCAGGUAGGAAGCUUGUCGGAGAUCUAUCACACUAUCCAGCAAUUAUAUUGGUAGUUUUUGAUGUCUUGGUCAAGGUUAUAGUGGCAUGUAUAGGUGGACUUGUGUUUGAUGAACUAGUUGUUAAGUUUGACUUGUAAAUAUGGUAAUAUGGUUGGUGUGUUUUUGGCAUUUGAUGCCUUGAUGGUUGGUAUUUUUAUUAUGCAUGGGUUAAAUGGCCAAAGUGAUAUGUUUUGGCAUGGUUGAAAUAUGGUAAAUUAGGUUAUGUGUUGAUAUGGAAUUUAGUUAAGGUUGUUUGGAUGAAACAUGAUCAUUUUGAUGCAAAUGUAAGUAUGAAUGCUUGGUUGUGAUUAA